CAGGGUUGAGCUUGGCAUAGAUGAACAGGAUCCUCUCCACCACCUCCCAGUGAGCCUCUGAGCCCGGCGGCAGAGGGUGGUAGUCUUCAGUCUGGGCACUUCUCCUGUUUGAUGCCUCCAGCUGUAAGAAUGAACUGCAUUAACACCUUGGUGAUGCCAAGGCCCUUCCUGGUGACAGCUGUGGCGGUAAGGGAGGAGUGAGUCACCCGGCGGUGCAGUCUCUCCACCUCUGGGUCAUUCACAAUCACCUCGCAGGGAAAUUGUGUCCCUCGCUGGAAGAACAUGAUGUCGGGACACAACCGUCUGAGGAAUGAAGGUGAAAGUGAUGAUACAAGCUCCUGCUGGAAAAUGUCCUUAAGGAGUAAGGGACUGGCCAGUAAUGUCCCUUGGCCUCAGAGGGAAAUAUGACCAACAGUAUCCUUAUCUUCGAGGAGACAAGACACCAGUAACAAAAGAUGAAGGAUGGUCUGAAGGAGGACAAGAAGGGAGAGGAUGCAAGGAUGUGUCAGUGAUGGUGAUGAUGCUAGAUGUGAAGCAGCACUGGUGUUAAGUGCUGGGGAUAUCCUGGAGAAGUCACUUGGCACUAGUUCCCAAAGACCUGCUGUCUGGAUAGAGAGGACAGCAAGUUCAUAAGGAGAAUGGAUAGACUGGCAUUUGUCUACUGUACAGUACUGGAUAUUAGCAAAAACAGGAGACUCAGAGGCUUUGAGUAAUGUGAAUGGUUGGUGGCUUGUGGAUUAAGGCUCAGUGGUGCGUGAGAGGCAGCCAGGUCUCACUCAGUAUGCUAGAAAUGGUAGUA